AUACGGAGGGUGCAAGCGUUAUCCGGAUUCAUUGGGUUUAAAGGGUGCGCAGGCGGAUAUUUAAGUCAGUGGUGAAAUCCCGGGGCUCAACCUCGGAACUGCCAUUGAUACUGAAUAUCUGGAAUACGGUUGAAGUGGGCGGAAUGUAGCAUGUAGCGGUGAAAUGCAUAGAGAUGCUACAGAACACCGAUCGCGAAGGCAGCUCACUAAGCCGAUAUUGACGCUCAGGCACGAAAGCGUGGGGAGCGAACGGGAUUAGAAACCCUUGUAGUCC
rnacentral:rRNA from 1 species